AUCUUAACGUCUCACAAAAGGCUGCCAUUUUAUUUCAAAAUUAGAAUUUAGAAUUGGAAUUGGAAUUGGAAUAGUGUGUGCAUGACAUCUCAAAGCCAGGACAACUACUCGGAUUUAAGACGUUAAACUCUUACAUGCAGACAACACUUAAACUGUGCUGUGUAACAGAUGUGUUUUACAGGAACACAUUUUCAAAGAAAAUGACUUCUAGCUUGAAGACAGCGAAGACAGAUCAGGGUUUACUGCCACCUCGGGUGAAAGCUAACGCACUCCGCUGUCCACAGGCAUCCACUCUUCAGAGCUCUUCCAGAAAAACUCUACCUGGAAAAAGAAAGGAGCUCCUAGAGCAGCUUGAAGUACAGAAGAGUAACACUUCUGGAAAAGCUCAGGUAGAGCGCCUCCCAAAGCGCUUGGCUUUUGCUCUGCCCCUUGUCCCCAGAAGAGGACGAAGAUUUCUGGCAGGCCCGCCGGAGAGUCUAGAGAAUAUAAAGGCUCAUCAGCUCAUCAACACACCAUGCGGGUCUCAGUGGGUGUCUGAGUAUGUGGGAAACUUUGAUUCGCCACAAAUUGUCCACUUACCUCCGGAGUACCACUGCAUACUUAACCCUCAUUCUGCAGACAAGAAUCAACAAGCCGCAUACCAGGCCAUCUACGGUCCUGAGCUGAACAAGUACACGCCACUGCCUCCUCUCAACCCAGCCAGGUCUGCAGUCAAUGAGAACCAUCAGUGCUUACUGCCACCUCUGGUGAAAUCUACCGCACGCCACUGUCCACAGGCAUCCACUCUUCAGGAUCCUCCUCCUAUAGCUUCCAGAAAAGCUCUACCUGGAAAAAGAAAGGAGCUCCUAGAGCAGCUUGAAGUACAGAAGAGUAACACUUCUGGAAAUGCUCAGAUGGAGCUCCGGGCUCCUGCUCCACCCACUGUCCCCAGAAGAGGACGAAGAUUUUUGGCAGGCCUGCCGGAGAGUCUAGAGUGUAUAAAGGCUCAUCAGUUCAUCAACACACCAUGCGGGUCUCAGUGGGUGUCUGAGUAUGUGGAAAACUUUGAUUCGCCACACCAUACCAGGCCAUCUACGGUCCUGAGAUCCGCACCAGACAGUUCAGCCUUGCUCUGUACCGACUGCUCCAAGGAACACCUUAGAAAGCAGGUCUCCGGGCUGCAAAUGUAAAAACACAAAAAAAGACACAAAGAGUAAUUCAUGUGUGACGAUCUCGCUGGCAGAUGGCGCUGCGGCGACAACGUGCGCGAUCAGCUGGAAAGCGCGUGCACGUGCUUGAAGUGCGCAUGGACGCUAAGACUUUGUUUACAAUGGACAUGUGCACUUAUUUUGGUUUCUGUUCUGUCCCCGCCCUAUUCAGUUAUUGGCGGAGGUGCGAGGGUGUGCUUUGAAAUGUUACCAGCUGUCAACAAUUAAGUCUUGUUUGGUAACAUCAUGAAGCUUGUUUGAGACUGCAACGUCAGUAUUCAACUUCUUACUUUUGCUGCCCAAUUCUCCAUGGAUGUGUGAGUAUGAGAAUAACUGCACAUUCUUUGGCCUCAUCACAUCAGGACAACCAGUCUAUUUGCAGAGAAGUACACACAUAAAACACCAAAGUUUUCAACAGCUGACAAAAUUGCAUAAAGAAAAAUUCCCAGAUACCCACAGACUUUCACAGGCAACUUAUGAUACCCACAGACUUUCACAGACAACACCAUUAUUAAUAUUUCACAAUUAAUGACUCGCAUAUUAAGCCACCCUGAGCCUUGUGAUGUCGGUGAAGCAGGAGUUACUUCAGUCACUACAUCAGACAUGCAUAUUGAGAAUGUCAUGAAUAAAGACACAGUGGGUUUGAGCAUACAACAGGAGUACAGCGUCUACGACUCAGUAGCAAAGAGGUUUGGAGCGGAGUCCUGCAUUCAAGAGAGCCCUGCAUUGAAAGUGCAGAGGAUUUGUGACAAAGCAAAAAGACAAGAUCCCACAUCGUCAACGCUCGCUUCUUCAAACAGAGGGUCUCUUCCAAACAUGGAAACUGAAAACCUGAUGAAUGAUGGGAACAAGCCAACAGUUACAGCUGAAUCAGAAUUUCAGAGUGGAAAUGUGAAGAGUUCUACAGCUCAUGGUACUAUUCAGACACAACUGAGGCCUAGUGUACACACUGCGAGCGAAUCACCUUCCCCUGAAUCCGCCUUGCUGCGCGUUGACCCGGACUUUGCCGCCCUCAGGCUCGAGUUGCUGGCUUCGCUGAGGAAGGACAUCGCCGAUAUUUUUAAAAAGGAACUCCAGGAGACUCUUGGGGAUGCACUGUCUACUAUCAAGCUUGACCUGCAAGCCAUGAAGACACAGCUGGUUAGUGAUAAAGUUGCUACCGAUGCUACCAUAUCAACACUGAAAGGUACUGUUGUGGAAAUGGAGCACGCUCUCUCUGGUUGCACCGAUGCUAUAGCUCAGAUAAAGACUACUAUUGAGUCUCUCACUGCGACCGUAACCAAGUUAGAGAAUAAAUAUGAGGACUUGGAGUCUACGUCAUGGCGCAAUAACAUUCGGAUAGUGGGAGUUCCAGAGGGGCCUGACACCUGUACAACUGCUGCUGUAGCGGCCUUGCUGAAGGAGGCGUUUGGUCUGGAGAAGGAGCCGGUUUUGGACCGGACCCUUCAGCCUAAGCCCAAGCCUGGUGAACGACCACGAGCUAUUGUGUGCAGAUUCCACUAUCACAGUGACUGUGUUGACAUUUUACGCCGUGUGAGAGAGCUCCAACGGAUGAAAGUGAGGGAUUUGACCAUUUUAGUCUUCCCGGACCACACAGCCAAGAUAGCCCGGGCUCGGGCCGCGUUUAACGAGGUUAGGCAUCAACUUCGUGGCAUUGAGGGUGCUCGGCUCGGCUUCGCAUUACUUAUAACAGUGUUCAGGAGGACUUUGUUUCAGUGGAGGAAGCGAGGGACUAUGUCAAAUUCUCGACAUCUGGGUGCGCUGCAUCACCUACGACAGCGGCGUCUUUUUCGCCCUCCUUAAAUCUACCUCUGAAAUAAUGUGGUUCUCUGUUUUGAUGCUCUGACUAGGUUAGAGUUUCUGUUUAAAUUAUGUUAGUAUUUUUUUCUCUGCCUUACAUGCUACACUGUUUCGUCUAAUUUGUAACAAGUCUUUAAAAGAUUAUAUUUGUUAUUGAGCGCAGACUGUUUUUCAGACUUGAAGUCAGUAGGAGCCUUUUCUCUUACUGAGACUUUUUUUUGGUAACUUUUUUGGUUAGUUCGGCUUACUCUCCGAAUUGUUUUCACUUUGUGGACAACUUUUGGUUACUGUGGGAAACACUGCUGUCUCCUUUGUUCUUUUGUUAUAUGGAGACUUUGGGUGUGUGUGUGUGUUUUAGGGGUUUGUUGGGGGGAGGGUGUCCCACUUCGGCUCUAAUUGGCUAUUUGUAUCCCUGUGGUUUACUUUAUUUAAAUGGUUAAUAGUAAUAUGGAUCCCAGCACAGGUGGGACAGGCACACCUCUAAGAUUUAUUAGUUGGAAUGUCAGAGGUAUGGGUAAUCCUGUCAAGAGAUCUAAGGUUUUUACACAUUUGAAACGUUUAAACUCUGAUAUAAUAUUUUUACAGGAGACUCACCUACGUAUUAAAGAUCAUCAUAGGUUACACUGCCCUUGGGUGAGUCAAGUCUUCCACUCGAACUUUAAUUCGAAGGCGGAGGGGUCACUAUUUUAAUUGGCAAAAGGGCACAGUUUUCGUCCACUAACAUUAUUGCUGAUGUGAAUGGUAGAUAUAUUAUAGUUGCUGGUACCCUAAUGCAAAGACAGGUUUUGUUGGUAAAUGUAUGAGUGGUACAUCCACACCAUUUACACUGUGCACUCCAGAGGCAAUGCAAACCGUGGCAUUGGCAAAAGAAGCGUGGAGUACCAUUCGUUUGUGUCGCACAACACCUGUGCUAGGUGCUCAAACCAGGACGCACCUGCUAUCGCUGAAAUGAUCAGUGCUGAACACAAUUGAGGCACCAACAUCAUGCACAUCGUUCUGGAGCGCCAGCAGGCAGUGCAGGCUGGUGAGGUUUCUGCUGAACACCUCAUACAGCACGAAAUAGCCAAUCGUGGCAGUAAGGAAGAGGCGGUGAUGGCAACAGUUGGGGUCAACAGUCUCAGUUGGACUGCUGCUCUUCAGCCUCAUCGUGGCGAUGCUUGUCCUAUUGCUUCGAUCGCAGAAGAGACCAGAAAAGGAAGUGAGAACGAGAUCAGAAAAGGAGGGACUAACAGUUUCUGCCAGCAUGCAGCCGGUUAUAUUGAGGAGUGGUUUUGAAGGCAGCGACGGCUCUGAGGUGUGACGGCUGCAGAAUUCGGUCCUGAUAAGUGUGUGCCAUCUUGGAUGAGUCACAGUGCUCUGAAUUUGCAAUUUAACAAGUGCCUCAGAAAGAUUCGGUUCUGCUGAAGGCCUGUCAAAUCCAGCUGCAUUCUAAACAUCUGGCUGAGUAGUUUCGAUUAACUGUGCUCUUCAAGUAUGAGAGCCAAGAACUGUGCUGUACUGUUUCAGGACAGGCCACAACUGCGUGCACAGACGACAUGCUAAUUAUUGUAGUUUUUAAGAUGUAUAUCUUGAUUUCAAAAGACCCAGGAUUAUCGCAUAGUUUGAUUUUAUAUCACAAUUGUUAAAUAUUGGCGAUUUGUAUUCAAUUUUGGGGAUAUGUAAUGGGGUUACUUAUUUAGAAUAACACAAAACAGACAGGCUACAGAUAAGUCCAGUAGGAAGAUAGGAACUGUUAUAAGAUUGAUACAAAUAAAAAGAAAGUUGAAAAGGAUAAUGAGGGGGAAAAAAGCGGGUCAAAUCAGAUCACCAAAAUUGUAUGGUCAUUUACAUUAAGUUUCCACUUCCAGUUUCCAUCAGUAACAAAAUACACUUUAAAAUGUGGUUCCAUUAUAUUAUGUUAGUAGAGAGAAACUGCUGAGUGUGCCCAAAUAUAAAACUGUAAGAAACACUGAAUGCCUGCUGAGAGUUGUUUACAUAGUUUGGUGUAAUGAGCCAUACACAUGUUUUUGUUUACAUGAAAUACAUCACGUUUUAUGUAUUCUUUUAUGACAUCACUGUUCAUUAUCAUUACUUGUUAUGUAUUUUAUGCACAUACAACUGAAUUUGGAGUGAUAGCACUGUGUGUAUUAAACAUCUGAUUAAUUGUC